CGACGAAUCUUCCGCAAUGGGCGCAAGCCUGACGGAGCAAUGCCGCGUGCGGGACGAAGUUCUUCGGAAUGUAAACCGCUGUCAGGGUUUAGCAACACAAUGAGCAAACCCAAAGGAAGGGCCGGCUAACUCUGUGCCAGCAGCCGCGGUAAUACAGAGGGCCCGAGCGUUGCGCGGAAUCACUGGGCUUAAAGGGUGCGUAGGCGGAAACUUAAGUGUCUUGUGAAAUCCCACGGCUCAACCGUGGAACCGCAGGGCAUACUGGGUUUCUUGAGGCUGGUAGGCGCCGCCGGAACUGUAGGUGUAGCGGUGAAAUGCGUAGAUAUCUACAGGAACGCCGAUGGUGAAGACGGGCGGCUGGGCCAGUUCUGACGCUGAGGCACGAAAGCGUGGGGAUCAAACAGG
rnacentral:rRNA from 1 species